rnacentral:rRNA from 1 species
UACGAAGGGGGCCAGCGUUGCUCGGAAUUACUGGGCGUAAAGCGUGCGCAGGCGGUGAUGUAAGACAGAUGUGAAAUCCCCGGGCUCAACCUGGGACCUGCAUUUGUGACUGCAUCGCUAGAGUACGGUAGAGGGGGAUGGAAUUCCGCGUGUAGCAGUGAAAUGCGUAGAUAUGCGGAGGAACACCGAUGGCGAAGGCAAUCCCCUGGACCUGUACUGACGCUCAUGCACGAAAGCGUGGGGAGCAAACAGG